rnacentral:rRNA from 1 species
UACAGAGGUCCCAAGCGUUGUUCGGAUUCACUGGGCGUAAAGGGUGCGUAGGUGGUCGGGUAAGUCUGAUGUGAAAUCUCCGAGCUUAACUCGGAAAUGGCAUUGGAUACUAUUCGGCUAGAGGGUUUGAGGGGGGACUGGAAUACUUGGUGUAGCAGUGAAAUGCGUAGAUAUCAAGUGGAACACCAGUGGCGAAGGCGAGUCCCUGGAAAACUCCUGACACUGAGGCACGAAAGCUAGGGGAGCAAACAG